AUGCUCAAAAUUCUCCAAGCCAGGCUUCAGCAAUACGGGAACCGUGAACUUCCUGAUGUUCAAGCUGGUUUUAGAAAAGGCAGAGGAACCAGAGAUCAAAUUACCAACAUCCGCUGGAUCAUGGAAAAAGCAAGAGAAUUCCAGAAAAACAUCUAUUUCUGCUUUAUUGACUAUGCCAAAGCCUUUGACUGUGUGGAUCACAAUAAACUGUCAAAAAUUCUGAAAGAGAUGGGAAUACCAGACCAUCUGACCUGCCUCUUGAGAAAUCUGUAUGCAGGUCAGGAAGCAGCAGUUAGAAUUGGACAUGGAACAACAGACUGGUUCCAAAUAGGAAAAGGAGUACGUCAAGGCUGUAUAUUGUCACCCUGCUUAUUUAACUUAUAUGCAGAGUACAUCAUGAGAAACGCUGGACUGGAAGAAACACAAGCUGGAAUCAAGAUUGCCGGGAGAAAUAUCAAUAACCUCAGAUAUGCAGAUGACACCACCCUUAUGGCAGAAAGUGAAGAGGAACUAAAAAGCCUCUUGUUGAAAGUGAAAGUGGAGAGUGAAAAAGUUGGCUUGAAGCUCAACAUUCAGAAAACGAAGAUCAUGGCAUCUAGUCCCAUCACUUCACGGGAAAUAGAUGGGGAAACAGUGGAAACAGUGUCAGACUUUAUCUUUUUGGGCUCCAAAAUCACUGCAGAUGGUGACUGCAGCCAUGAAAGUAAAAGACGCUUACUCCUUGGAAGAAAAAUUAUGACCAACCUAGAUAGUAUAUUCAAAAGCAGAGACAUUACUUUGCCGACUAAGGUCCAUCUAGUCAAGGCUAUGGUUUUUCCAGUAGUCAUGUAUGGAUAUGAGAGUUGGACUGUGAAGAAGGCUGAGCGCCCAAGAAUUGAUGCUUUUGAACUGUGGUGUUGGAGAAGACUCUUGAGAAUCCCUGGGACUGCAAGGAGAUCCAACCAGUCCAUUCUGAAGAUCAGCCCUGGGAUUUCUUUGGAGGGAAUGAUGCUAAAGCUGAAACUCCAGUACUUUGGCCACCUCAUGGGAAGAGUUGACUCAUUGGAAAAGACUCUGAUGCUGGGAGGGAUUGGGGGCAGGAGGAGAAGGGGACAACAGAGGGUGAGAUGGCUGGAUGGCAUCACUGACUAG
rnacentral:lncRNA from 1 species